GUGCUCGGUUCCGCAGCACAUAAACUAAAAUUGGAACAAGACCCAGAUACACACAUGGCCCUGUGUAAGGAUGACAUGCGUGCCUGUGAAGCAGUCUAUAUUCUU